rnacentral:rRNA from 1 species
CCUACGGGAGGCAGCAGUGAGGAAUAUUGGUCAAUGGACGAGAGUCUGAACCAGCCAAGUAGCGUGAAGGAUGAAUGCCCUAUGGGUUGUAAACUUCUUUUACAUGGGAAUAAAACGUUCCACGUGUGGGACUUUGAAUGUACCAUAUGAAUAAGGAACGGCUAACUCCGUGCCAGCAGCCGCGGUAAUACGGAGGAUACGAGCGUUAUCCGGAUUUAUUGGGUGUAAAGGGAGCGUAGGUGGAUUGUUAAGUCAGUUGUGAAAGUUUGCGGCUCAACCGUAAAAUUGCAGUUGAAACUGGCAGUCUUGAGUACAGUAGAGGUGAGCGGAAUUCGUGGUGUAGCGGUGAAAUGCUUAGAUAUCACGAAGAACUCCGAUUGCGAAGGCAGUUCACUGGACUGCAACUGACACUGAGGCUCGAAAGUGUGGGUAGCAAACAGGAUUAGAUACCCCUGUAGUC